rnacentral:rRNA from 1 species
UGGGGAAUAUUGCACAAUGGGCGAAAGCCUGAUGCAGCGACGCCGCGUGAGGGAUGACGGCCUUCGGGUUGUAAACCUCUUUCAGUAGGGACGAAGCGCAAGUGACGGUACCUGCAGAAGAAGCACCGGCUAACUACGUGCCAGCAGCCGCGGUAAUACUUAGGGUGCGAGCGUUGUCCGGAAUUACUGGGCGUAAAGAGCUCGUAGGCGGUUUGUCACGUCGUCUGUGAAAUCCUAGGGCUUAACCCUGGACGUGCAGGCGAUACGGGCUGACUUGAGUACUACAGGGGAGACUGGAAUUUCUGGUGUAGCGGUGGAAUGCACAGAUAUCAGGAAGAACACCGAUGGCGAAGGCAGGUCUCUGGGUAGUAACUGACGCUGAGGAGCGAAAGCAUGGGUAGCGAAGAGG